AAAGCAGCUGUGCAACCAGCAACAUGUGUCACAGGAUCCCGCAUGUAUCUGGAUUCUGGCCCUGCCUGCUGGAAGAAGCUGGGGAACACACAGGUUCAAUCUUUUACUGACUAAAGGUGCUUUACAGCAUCUUUAAAAAUUGUCCCUUGGGUCAGACACAAGCUCUUGUUGUUCAUGACUGCUGAAGCCUGCAGUGACCUGUGCUGAGUAUAUGAAGAUGUCAUUGGGGCAGCAUUGGCGCUGGGCAAGAAGCAAGUGGAAGGGUGUUUUAUCGGGCUGUCCAGCUGAGGAAGAUGUGACCUGCCAUUAAUAUGUUCCCUGGGCUGUACAAACUGUUAGUGUGUUUUCACAACUGCACUGGACUACCACAUGGCCGCGACGUGAUUUAUGGCGCUAUGAAUCAUUCAGUCAUCUGACUACCACUGGCUGCUUCGUGAUUUCUCCUGAAAAAUACAUUUAUGUUAUUUCCGGUCUAGUUUACCUAUAUGGGGAUUUGAUGCAUUUGAUAGCACCACAUGCUACUUAUCGCAACUUUGUGUCCUGUUCUUUUAUGCAUAACAUAUAUGUAGCUACUUUGUAUACUUAGGCCAUGACUUAGAACUAGACAGUCCGAAACGCGUCGGCGUGUUUUUUUUUUAACCACACAGGGUGUUUUGUUUUUUGAUUUUAAUAUGGA